GAUGAACGCUGGCGGCGUGCCUAAUACAUGCCAGUCGAGCGAACAGACGAGGAGCUUGCUCCUCUGACGUUAGCGGCGGACGGGUGUGUAACACGUGGAUAACCUACCUAUAAGACUGGGAUAACUUCGGGAAACCGGAGCUAAUACCGGAUAAUAUAUUGAACCGCAUGGUUCAAUAGUGAAAGACGGUUUUGCUGUCACUUAUAGAUGGAUCCGCGCCGCAUUAGCUAGUUGGUAAGGUAACGGCUUACCAAGGCAACGAUGCGUAGCCGACCUGAGAGGGUGAUCGGCCACACUGGAACUGAGACACGGUCCAGACUCCUACGGGAGGCAGCAGUAGGGAAUCUUCCGCAAUGGGCGAAAGCCUGACGGAGCAACGCCGCGUGAGUGAUGAAGGUCUUCGGAUCGUAAAACUCUGUUAUUAGGGAAGAACAAAUGUGUAGGUAACUAUGCACGUCUUGACGGUACCUAAUCAGAAAGCCACGGCUAACUACGUG
rnacentral:rRNA from 1 species